GGCAGGAUGGCAGAGUGGUCUAAGGAGCUGGUUUUAGGCACCAGUCACUUAAGUGGGGUGGGUUCGAGUCCCACUGCUGUCA
rnacentral:tRNA from 1 species